UUCGUUUGUGGCACUAGGAUC
rnacentral:piRNA from 1 species